rnacentral:rRNA from 1 species
GACGAACGCUGGCGGCGUGCCUAACACAUGCAAGUCGAGCGAUGAAGUUUCCUUCGGGGGACGGAUUAGCGGCGGACGGGUGAGUAACACGUGGGUAACCUGCCUUGUAGAGGGGGAUAGCCUUCCGAAAGGAAGAUUAAUACCGCAUAAGAUUGUAGUUUCGCAUGAAACAGCAAUUAAAGGAGCAAUCCGCUACAAGAUGGACCCGCGGCGCAUUAGCUAGUUGGUGAGGUAACGGCUCACCAAGGCGACGAUGCGUAGCCGACCUGAGAGGGUGAUCGGCCACAUUGGGACUGAGACACGGCCCAGACUCCUACGGGAGGCAGCAGUGGGGAAUAUUGCACAAUGGGGGAAACCCUGAUGCAGCAACGCCGCGUGAGUGAUGACGGUCUUCGGAUUGUAAAGCUCUGUCUU